ensembl:snRNA U6 U6 spliceosomal RNA
ACUGCCCAGUCCUUGCUUAAUUGUAACAAUAUAGAGAUUAGCAUGGCCCCUUUGCAAGGAUGACAUGCAAAUUCAUCAAGAGUUCCAUAUUUAA